AGGCCACACACACACACACAUUAAGUAAAUGCAAGCAGGAAGUGCAUUUUCUGAUCUAACCUCAGUCUGAACAUUCAUUCAUGACGGAGAGACGGCAGUGGUUGUUGUUUCUGUAUCCGUGUGUGUGUGUGUGUGUUUCUAAUUGAGCAGAUGUUUCAGUAUUAAAGGUAUCCGCUCUCAUACCGUCAAGGCAGACACUGCAGCUGCUGUUGACGUGUUUUCAGUUGAUGGACCCAAUUACAGAACAAAAUGCAAAGGAUCUGAUAUUACUUAAAUUCUCGCCUCACGCUAAUUACUUUAGAUCUCAAUCCAAUCUAAUUCCUCUCCUCUGUCAACACCUUCC